rnacentral:misc_RNA from 1 species
UUCCUCACGUAAGUAUACAUACAUGUGGAAGUCUUCGCCAACCAUCGAUCGCCU